AGAAAGCAUUUCCAUUUUGCCUGGCUCUGGGAACAAAGCCAAUGUCUGCUUUAGAGGAACAGAGAUUUCCACACAGCGAAUGAGAAAAAGGACACAGACCCAGGAUUCAGAAAGGAAAUGAGGACAGAGACUAACACUGUCUAAAUACAUAAAGGCAGAAGACAUUUUCUCAGCAACCCGGGGAUAGAUCCUUUUCCGUUCCACUGAAGCUUGCAGAGAAAAGCGGGCUGUGAGAAGCAAGGCCCCGGAGGGGAGGCAGACAGACCCUGAGCCGUGCAAAUUUGUGCAAAUGCCUGGAUUUGCCCCGAAGGCAGAGAGGGUGGGGAGCUUCAGAGACCAACAGGGGGAAAUUUGUACAUAGAGACAUGCAGAGAGAGGAGCUGAUGUGAAGGCAUGGAGAGAUUUUCAUCUACAAGCCAAGGAAUGCCUGAGCUACCAGAAGCCAAGAGAGAGGCAAGGAACAGAGUCUGCCUCACAGCCCUUAAAAGCAAACAACCCUGCUGACAUCUUACGUUUGAACUUCCAGC
rnacentral:lncRNA from 1 species